ACGGAAGGCAGCAGUGGGGAAUAUUGGACAAUGGGCGCAAGCCUGAUCCAGCAAUGCCGCGUGAGUGAUGAAGGCCUUCGGGUUGUAAAGCUCUUUCGCACGCGACGAUGAUGACGGUAGCGUGAGAAGAAGCCCCGGCUAACUUCGUGCCAGCAGCCGCGGUAAUACGAAGGGGGCUAGCGUUGUUCGGAAUUACUGGGCGUAAAGGGCGCGUAGGCGGUACUUCAAGUCAGGCGUGAAAGCCCCGGGCUCAACCUGGGAACCGCGCUUGAGACUGGAGAACUCGAGUUCGGGAGAGGAUGGUGGAAUUCCCAGUGUAGAGGUGAAAUUCGUAGAUAUUGGGAAGAACACCGAUGGCGAAGGCAGCCAUCUGGACCGACACUGACGCUGAGGCGCGAAAGCGUGGGGAGCAAACAGGAUUAGAUACCCUGGUA
rnacentral:rRNA from 1 species